rnacentral:lncRNA from 1 species
CCUCCCAUCGUCAUGACUAUUUCCUCCCACAUUCUGCCUGCGCAUCAAUUCCUUGACAACCGGUGAAUAUCCAACCGACUUCUCGAAUUCCUCCAUUGUAAGUUGCUUCCCUGUCUGAACAUCACUGAGCUUAUUCCACAUGCCCUGUUCGUUAUACUCUUUAACAAUAAACUCCUUUCCAGUGUCCAAAUUCUUUAUCAGGAAGAACGAACCAAACGCACCGUCCGGCACCACAGACUGUAGCACAUCAUUGUUUGGAUUCAAUAAUCUGCUUUUCGCUCUGUCUGGGGAUAUUCUAACAGCGUUAGAGUAUUGACACACACCAGUGGUAGGUAUAGCUAGGCCUGAAGAUGUUCUAGUGAGUCUUUGUUUCGAUACAGGCCCGAUUAAUUCUUCUUUCCUUUGCUUUGUUCUUGCAGAAAAGGCAUCUAUGUCACUAUCCGAUCUCGACCGUACAAGCACAACUGCCGUCGGAUGUGAAUCCAACGGUGAAGAAGAAGAAGGCUCCUCUUUUCUUGAUUC